GUGAGGAAUAUUGGUCAACGGGCGGGAGCCUGAACCAGCCAAGUCGCGUGAAGGAAGAAGGAUCUAUGGUUCGUAAACUUCUUUUGCAGGGGAAUAAAGUGCAGGACGUGUCCUGUUUUGUAUGUACCCUGAGAAUAAGGAUCGGCUAACUCCGUGCCAGCAGCCGCGGUAAUACGGAGGAUCCGAGCGUUAUCCGGAUUUAUUGGGUUUAAAGGGUGCGUAGGUGGUUUGAUAAGUCAGCGGUGAAAGUUUGCAGCUUAACUGUAAAAAUGCCGUUGAAACUGUCGGACUUGAGUGUAAAUGAGGUAGGCGGAAUGCGUGGUGUAGCGGUGAAAUGCAUAGAUAUCACGCAGAACUCCGAUUGCGAAGGCAGCUUACUAAGCUACAACUGACACUGAAGCACGAAAGCGUGGGGAUCAAACAGGAUUAGAAACCCCGGUAGUCC
rnacentral:rRNA from 1 species